CCUACGGGGGGCAGCAGUGGGGAAUAUUGGGCAAUGGGCGCAAGCCUGACCCAGCAAAGCCGCGUGAAGGAAGAAGGCUUUCUGGUUGUAAACUUCUUUUCUGAGGGACGAAGAACGUGACGGUACCUCAGGAAUAAGCCACGGCUAACUACGUGCCAGCAGCCGCGGUAAUACGUAGGUGGCAAGCGUUAUCCGGAUUUAUUGGGUGUAAAGGGCGUGUAGGCGGGAAAGCAAGUCAGAUGUGAAAACUCAGGGCUCAACCCUGAACCUGCAUUUGAAACUGUUUUUCUUGAGUGCUGGAGAGGCAAUCGGAAUUCCGGGUGUAGCGGUGAAAUGCGUAGAUAUACGGAGGAACACCAGUGGCGAAGGUGGAGUGCUGGACAGUAACUGACGCUGAGGCGCGAAAGCGUGGGGAGCAAACAGGAUUAGAUACCCCUGUAGUC
rnacentral:rRNA from 1 species